rnacentral:rRNA from 1 species
GCGGCCUAUCAGCUUGUUGCAGAGGUAACGGCUCACCAAGGCAUCGAUGGGUAGCUGGUCUGAGAGGAAGAUCAGCCACAUUGGGACUGAGACACGGCCCAGACUCUUACGGGAGGGAGCAGUGGCGAAUCUUGCACAAUGGGCGAAAGCCUGAUGCAGCAACGCCGCGUGCGGGAAGAUGGCCGUAGGGUUGUAAACCGUUUUCAGCAGCGAAGAAAACGACGGUACCCCUAGAAGAAGGUGCGGCCAAAUACGUGCCAGCAGCCGCGGUGACAUGUAGGCACCAAGCGUUAUCCGGAUUUAUUGGGGGUAAAGAGCUCGUAGGCGGUUCGGUAAGUCUGGUGUGAAAAAGCAGGCUCAACCUCAAGAGGCCACCCGAUACUGCUGUGACUCGAGUGCGGUAGGGGAGCGGGGAAUUCUUGGUGUAGCGGUGAAAUGCGCAGAUAUCAGGAGGAACACCCGUGGCGAAGGCGCCGCUUUGGGCCGUAAAUGACGGUGAGGAGGGAAAGGGUGGGUAGCAAACCGGAUUAGAUACCCUGGUAGUUCACGCCGUAAACGUUGGGCAAUAGGUGUGGGUCUCAACCAACGCGAUCCGCGCCGUAGCUAACGCAUUAAGUGCCCCGCCUGGGGAGUACGGA